rnacentral:rRNA from 1 species
CAGCAGCCACGGUAAUACGUAGGGUGCGAGCGUUAAUCGGAAUUACUGGGCGUAAAGCGUGCGCAGGCGGUUGUGUAAGACAGGUGUGAAAUCCCCGGGCUUAACCUGGGAACUGCGCUUGUGACUGCACAGCUAGAGUAUGGCAGAGGGGGGUGGAAUUCCACGUGCAGCAGUGAAAUGCGUAGAGAUGUGGAGGAACACCGAUGGCGAAGGCAGCCCCCUGGGCCAAUACUGACGCUCAUGCACGAAAGCGUGGGGAGCAAACAGGAUUAGAUACCCGAGUAGUCCCUGUCUCUUAUAC